rnacentral:rRNA from 1 species
UACGUAGGGUGCUAGCGUUGUCCGGAAUUAUUGGGCGUAAAGCGCGUGUAGGCGGCUUUGCAAGUCGGGUGUGAAAUCCCUCAGCUUAACUGAGGAAGUGCGCCCGAAACUGCCGAGCUUGAGUACCGGAGAGGGUGGCGGAAUUCCCCAAGUAGAGGUGAAAUUCGUAGAUAUGGGGAGGAACACCGGUGGCGAAGGCGGCCACCUGGACGGAUACUGACGCUGAGACGCGAAAGCGUGGGGAGCAAACAGG